GCUACCAAAACACCCCUUCUGGAGUAGAAGCUGCUGGAAGGCAGGCCUGAGCCAUUCACCACGGACAGGAAGAGCAGCUCUGGCUAUCACCACUGGCCUCUGGGGUCUUCAUAUCUUGCCAUCUCAUCCAGGGUUCCAUGAAAGUUACCCAGGGUCCUCAUGUCCUUCCUUAGAGCCUGAGUGGUGUGAGGUGACAGGUCUCUCUCUCCACUGCCCCUUUCUGGUUUAAAAAAAUGGUCCUCACCUCUGAUCCACUUAGAGCAAUAACCACUUUUUAAAUGUAAAAUAAAAAGACAAAUGAAAAGGCA
rnacentral:sRNA from 1 species